CCAACAAUGUGAUCUUGCUUGCGGAGGCAAAAUUUGCACAGUAUAAAAUCUGCAAGUAGUGCUAUUGUUGGAAUCACCGUACCUAUUUAGGUUUACGCUCCAAGAUCGGUGGAUAGCAGCCCUAUCAAUAUCUAGGAGAACUGUGCUAUGUUUAGAAGAUUAGGUAGUCUCUAAACAGAACAAUUUACCUGCUGAACAAAUU
rnacentral:other from 14 species